UUACUAUCUAGCUACGGAAAACUCCUGCUGAUCCCAGCUGUCAUCUGGGAACAUGACUACACACCUCUGUGCCUCAGACUCAUUAAAAUGUUUGUCCUGACGUCAAAUUUUCAGGCAAUCAGAGUGACCCUGAACGUCAACCGGAAGCUGUCCUUGCUGGCCGUCCUGAGUGGCUUCCUGCUGGAGAACACCAUGGUCUACGUCCUCCAGAGGGUGGAGUGGGACGUGGGCAGCGACUGUGCCAUCUACAGGUCCCAGGACUUCUGAAGAGGUUCUACAGGCAUGUCACCUAGCCUGUCCCUGGCACCUGACUGCCUCCAGCUCGCCUGUCUCCCUCCAGGCCCUCAGGCUGGAAGCAGCCGGUGGCUCUUCUCGUCAGCCCCUCGGGGCCCGCCAGUCGCUGGCCCGCCCUCCGCACGCCUCGCCAUCCGCCCCUGCAGAGCCUUGCGGUGCUGCUGCUGCGGCUGCUCUGCCAGGGCCCGGACCUCAGCGGGGCCUCCACGGCCAUUCGGACGGCGCCCCAGGCUCCUCGCCCCAGGUCCACCCUCACCCGGCUGAGCAUUGAGGCUGCCACGAGCUGCCCAGACCUCCGGCCUCGCUGCAGCCGUUCUCUAGCCUUCCCCGUCCUGCCCUGCAGCCGCCUCUCUGGGGCUCUGUCCCGCUGGAGAGGUCCCUCCUCCCUUCAGGCCUUCAGUCGCCCACGCUCCUGUGCCCGGCUCUUCAUGCUACAGCAGUUGCUCUCGGCCUCUUCCUGUUUCUCUACUGCUUUUUCUUUUGUGAAACAUUCUGUCUCCGGCCUCUGGGAUCCACAGUCCUGAAGUGCACGGGAGGCCACUUGCUGGCUCCUUUCAGAGGCCCCGUCCCCGCGCUCUGCUCUGGAAGCCGCCAGCUCCUGGCCCCUCAGACAGGCCACCCUGCCCUUUCUGUGUGCCCCUCUCUGCCAGGUUACUGCGUCCUGCCUGCCCCUCCUGCAUGAUGCCAGCACGGUCCUGCCCUCACCUGAAAGGCCAGCAGGUCCGAGGUGGGGCUCAGGGUGUGCCGCAGAGCAGAGCCCUUUUCUGAUGGCUUCUCUCUGCGGACAGUCUUCACUCUUCACUUGGGCCACCCAAGGUCGGACCAGCCUCCUCACUGGCCUUCAGCCUAUGUGCCACAUGACUCUUCUUCAUAAAGCGCCACUUGGGGGCCUCCCGAAUUUCUCUGCCAUUUCAUGUGCUCACGUAGGAGUUUCUGGUAUUUUCUGGAGGGGCAUCUUUGGUUUUCUCUAAGCCUUGGUGUGGCCCUGUGUACCCUGGUGCUGAUUUCCCCCCAGGCAUUUUCCACCACGUCCCAUGUCCCUGUGGGUCCCCUCUUCUCCAAACCUGCCAGUGCUCUCUCCAGGCCCUGGAGCACUGCUCCUCUCCCUAACCAGAGGGGGUCAUCCGUGCCCCUCCAUGGAACACCCCUGCCAGCCGUGCCCGCUCCUCCGCUGGCUCCAGGUGCUCAGUAUAGCCACGGUGGCCAUGUGCUGGGUCCAAGACUGUGCCGCUGCCCUUCAUAAGUGCCUCACUCGUCAGGCUGUCAGUUAUCAUUUACGGUUAGGAAAAUAAGGUCACAGUCGCUUGCCCAGUUUCAUGUCAUCUCGUGUUUUAUACUUGUCUAUGUCACAUUCGCAGGCCCCGCUUCCCCAGCUCAGGGCCCCCUGUAUCUGCCAUAGCACGGACCCUGCCUUUACAGGUGUUUGUCAGCUUAAGGGCCAGCAGGAUGUGCCCUUCUAGAUACUUCCUUCAUUGCCCACAGUUGCACCCUCCCUCACAAUCUAUGGCAUGACCAGCUACAUCUGAAAGAGACAUGAGAUAUCAGAUGAAGACACAUCAUUUCUGAUGAGUGGAAUGAGGCAAAGAUUUGGAAGCACUUCCCAAAAGAAGCAGUGACGGUGGCAGUGGAGACCCAGCCCACCAGCCCACAGCCCCAGGAAGCGGCCAGGCGCUUUCCACGCAGACACAGACACACACGCACUCUCGAGUGUUGCCAGGGGGCUGCCUGUGCAGCAGGUGACGAUUAUCCCUGUAGACGGCCCAGAAGGCACCCUGCUUGGACACAACUGACAAGGAACACCAGGCACACACCUGCUCUGGCGCAGAGCAUUUGUCGUUGACGGGCCUUCACUUGAAUCCAAGGCCAGAGCCUGCCUCAUUCGUGUGCUGCAAACAGGCUGCUGGUCGGCUUCGUAGCACGCGCUGCCCACGCUGACUCCUCUCCUGGCUUCCUCUGUCUGUCCCACCAUCGCAUCCCCUUUGUCCUGAUGUCUAAACCCACAUUUUUAAAACGGUACUUUGUUGU